GCGCAAGUGAUCGUAAGAGCAUAUGGCGGAUGCCUAGGGAGAGUUAGCCGAUGAAGGACGUAGUAGGCUGCGAUAAGCCACGGGAAGGAGCCAAACAUCCUGUGAUCCGUGGAUUUCCGAAUGGGAAAACCCAGCCGUGUUUACACGGCUAACCGUGCGUAGCACAGAGUAAUCAAUGGGUAAGAAAAUGAGCAAGUACCUCGUUACUGUUUAUAUCUUUAUUUUAUUGAUACUUCUGUGUUGCGCAUGGUUGGGAACCCGGGGAACUGAAACAUCUUAGUACCCGGAGGAAAAGAAAUCAAUUGAGAUUCCCCAAGUAGCGGCGAGCGAAAAGGGAAAGGCCUAGAUUUGUUUGACGCAUUAGCUAGUUAGAAGAACACCUCUGGAAAGAGAGGCCAAAGAGGGUGAAAGCCCCGUAUUCGAAAAUUUGUUAAUGCUACAGAAUAAAUCCCUUUGUAAUAUUUUAUUGCGAAGGAAAGUACGGCAGAACACGUGAAACUCUGUCGGAAGAACUGUGCUUUGCACAGAAGGGUGGAUCGCCAUCCAAGGCUAAAUACUAACUCUCACCGAUAGUGAACUAGUACCGUGAGGGAAAGGUGAAAAGUACCCUGCAGCCAGGGAGUGAAAUAGUACCUGAAACCAUAUGCUUACAAGGAGUCGGAGCCCCGACGCAAGUCGUGGGUGACGGCGUGCCUUUUGAAGAAUGAGCCAACGAGUUAUUUCCCACAGCAAGCUUAAGUUCGUUAGAACGUAGGCGUAGCGAAAGCUAGUCCUCCCGGGCGUUAGUUGUGUGAAAUAGACCCGAAACCGAGUGAUCUAACCAUGGGCAGGGUGAAUCCCGCCGAAAGGCGGGAGGAGGCCCGAACUCACCUCAGUGGCAAAUGGGGGAGAUGACCUGUGGUUAGGGGUAAAAUGCUAAUCGAACUCGGCAAUAGCUGGUUCUCCUCGAAAUAUAUUUAGGUAUAGCCUCUUGUUGCAUCUCCGGGGGUAGAGCACUGGAUGGGCUUGACGGUCGCAAGACUGUCUGCUCAAUCAAACUCCGAAUACCGGAAGUUAAAGAACAAGGGAGUCAGAACGGCGGGGAUAAGCUCGUCGCUCGAAAGGGAAACAGCCCAGACCACCUGCUAAGGUCCCUAAAUUGUGCUAAGUGGCAAAGGAUGUGGUAAUCCACAGACAACUAGGAGGUUGGCUUAGAAGCAGCCAUCCUUUAAAGAAAGCGUAAUAGCUCACUAGUCAAGGCCUACUGCGCCGAAAAUUUAACGGGGCUAAGCACAAUACCGAAGCAGUGGAUCCGCCGUGCGUAACACAGAAUCAUCAAUAGUUAAGAAAGCCAGCAAGUACCUUGUUGCUGUUUACUUCUUAUAUUUAUUGAUACUUCUGUGUUGCGUGCGGUUGAUGGUAGAGGAGCGUUCUGUGUUGGCCGAAGCUGGUUCGUAAGAAUUGGUGGACGACACAGAAGUGAGAAUGUUGGCAUGAGUAACGAAUUAGACGGGUGGGAAACCCGUCCACCGCAAAUCUAAGGUUUCCCGGGCAACGAUAAUCGUCCCGGGGUUAGUCGGUACCUAAGGCCGCGAGGUCGAUGGACAACAGGUUGAUAUUCCUGUACUCAUUGGUAGUUUACCCCAAACUGACGCAUUUUUGAGUUCGUAACGUGGAAUGGCUAUACACGUUAUGGGUAAUAAAGUGACAAGAAAAGGUUUGGAUUAAUUGCUACCAGUAGCCGUACCGCAAACCAACUCAGGUAGAUGAGUCGAGUAGACUAAGGUGAUCGAGAGAACUCUGGUUAAGGAACUCGGCAAAAUAGCGUCCGUAACUUCGGAAUAAGGACUGCCAUUGCCCUGCAUAGCACAGAGAAAUCAAUAGUUAAGAAAAUAAAUAGGUAACAAGAAACAAUCUUAUAUUUAUUGAUACUUCUGUGCUAUGCAUGGUUGUGGCCGCAGCUAAAGAUUUCAGGCGACUGUUUACCAAAAACUUAGCUCUAUGCGAACCCUUAUAGGGGAUGUAUAUGGAGUGAUGCCUGCCCAGUGCUAGAAGGUCACGGCGAGGGGUGAUCUGUGCUCUGCACAGUGAGCUCUGAACUUAAGCCCUAGUAAACGGCAGCGGUAACUAUAACCGUUCUAUGGUAGGAAAGCUGCCAUAGUGAGGUAGUCAAACCUCUGUUCGAACUUUGUUUGCCGCAAAGACGUAGAACAAAAAUCUGGCUAUAUGCUGGAAAAUCUGAGUAUCUAGUGAUACUACGGUUUUAUUAAAUCAUAGUAACAAUUCAACUAGUGCAG
rnacentral:rRNA from 1 species